rnacentral:rRNA from 1 species
GGUAAGGCCCUUCGGGGUACACGAGCGGCGAACGGGUGAGUAACACGUGGGUGAUCUGCCCUGUACUUCGGGAUAAGCCUGGGAAACUGGGUCUAAUACCGGAUAUGACCUUACAUCGCAUGGUGUUUGGUGGAAAGAUUUAUCGGUACAGGAUGGGCCCGCGGCCUAUCAGCUUGUUGGUGGGGUAAUGGCCUACCAAGGCGACGACGGGUAGCCGGCCUGAGAGGGCGACCGGCCACACUGGGACUGAGACACGGCCCAGACUCCUACGGGAGGCAGCAGUGGGGAAUAUUGCACAAUGGGCGAAAGCCUGAUGCAGCGACGCCGCGUGAGGGAUGACGGCCUUCGGGUUGUAAACCUCUUUCGACAGGGACGAAGCGCAAGUGACGGUACCUGUAGAAGAAGCACCGGCCAACUACGUGCCAGCAGCCGCGGUAAUACGUAGGGUGCGAGCGUUGUCCGGAAUUACUGGGCGUAAAGAGCUUGUAGGCGGUUUGUCGCGUCGUCCGUGAAAACUUGGGGCUCAACCCCAAGCUUGCGGGC